AUAGCGUAUAUUAAAGUUGUUGCGGUUAAAAAGCUCGUAGUUGGAUCUCAGUUCCAGUCGGGCGGUCCGCCUACCGGCGAUAACUGCCCGUUCUGAACACGGCCGCCGGUUUCCCUUGAUGAUCUUCACCGGUUGUCUCGGGUGACCGGCAAGUUUACUUUGAAAAAAUUAGAGUGCUCAAAGCAGGCGCGACGCCUGAAUAAUGGUGCAUGGAAUAAUGGAAUAGGACCUCGGUUCUAUUUUGUUGGUUUUCGGAACACGAGGUAAUGAUUAAUAGGGACAGACGGGGGCAUUCGUAUUGCGACGCUAGAGGUGAAAUUCUUGGACCGUCGCGAGACGAACUACUG
rnacentral:rRNA from 1 species